UACGUAGGUGGCGAGCGUUGUCCGGAUUUAUUGGGCGUAAAGGGAACGCAGGCGGUCUUUUAAGUCUGAUGUGAAAGCCUUCGGCUUAACCGAAGUAGUGCAUUGGAAACUGGAAGACUUGAGUGCAGAAAAGGAGAGUGGAACUCCAUGUGUAGCGGUGAAAUGCGUAGAUAUAUGGAAGAACACCAGUGGCGAAAGCGGCUCUCUGGUCUGUAACUGACGCUGAGGUUCGAAAGCGUGGGUAGCAAACAGG
rnacentral:rRNA from 1 species